UGUUAAUAAGACUCUGUCCUCGAAGGCAGAGUCUUUGAAGCACCUGCUGCCUUCUUACGGCUUUGGCUUGUAGCGUGACUGGGGAAAGACUGAAAUAUGAGCAGUAUGCAGUGGGAAAGCAGGUCUGAUUACCUUGGAAGUAUGAGGGAAACAUGAUUUAUUUCAAAUUCUGUUUGGUGUCUCCCCCAUCUUUAAAAGAAGUCCAUGGUGUCAGCUACAUUACAGACUUGUGUUUUUUUGUUUGUUUGUUUUUGUUCAGACCCCAGAUUUCACAUUCAUUUUCUGGCUAUGAAUGUGAUACCUGGUGGUGAUGAAGCCUAUAUGUGAAUUCAUGCUAUGGUGCAAUCCUGUGUUAGCCUAAAUAGCCCUGUGGCAAGACUUUGGGAAUGUUACAGCUGACUUCAUUAGCUGCAACAUCGGUGGAACUAGUUCUCAAUGACCUUUAUUCACCACUGCUUAGUGGUCACAAAGUCUAAUUGGAAGAAAAUGGAUUCCUCUGGAUCUUCCGCUGAUCUGUGCUUUUUAAAUUUGCAUACCUGGAAUCUUAGGUGUUUGCUGUAUGACUUACUUAAUCAUGGAACAUGAUCAUAUUAAGACAGCAUACAAUUUCACUAUUUAUGCUGUAGUUUUAGAAUGACUAUUCAUUUAGUAUUUCUGGUUAGUACGUUGGAAGUAGUGUUCAAGGCUGUUUGAUUAAUUUUUAUUUCAUGAAACUUAUGUCCUCAACAUAUUCAAACUACAUCACUCUUUUGGUACAGAGAGGAUAGUAUAUAUGCUUAGGCACUUAAGCUGUCUAAGGUGACUGACUGUGUGGUUCCAAUUAUGUUUUUUCAGAUAUGUAAUUUCUAGCACCUGUGUGAGGGAGGGAAGUAUCCCUGCUUCUGCCGAGAAGGGGAGGGGAAGUAAGUCCACAAAAAGCUACAUCUCUGAUUACGUUAGAGCUAUUAGUAGAACCCAGUAAGGACAUUAAAAUACUAGCACAGAUGAUAGCAUGAUAAACUGAAAGUGUAUUCAGAAUUAAACUUAACACUAAGUGGCUCUGACCUGAUUUUAUUUGUUAGGGUUAAUUAAAUGCAUUAUCUUAACAGUCAUAGCAGACUUGCUUUACUUUUAUCAAACAUGGACAUCACUGUAGUUAUUUAUGAAGGAUAUAGACUAGAACUUUGUCUCGGCAAGCUUGUACUUGAAAGCAACACUUCUGCAAUUCAAACUAAUGCCAUCAGAAUGCCGUAUGAUCAAAAUGUUUCUCUCAUUAAAAAGCUAUAUGUAUAUUUACUGCUAAUGUUGUUGUUAAUCUGAUAUUAACAACACCUGGUAGUGAUAACCUUUCAACAAAAGAUGAAAUAAAUACGUGGUUCCUGGAAUAUAGUUGAACAAAAAGAUGAUUUGGUGUGCCAUAUAAAUUGAAUUCCUAUUUAUGACUUAUCUUGCUUAUAUGCAACACAUUUUCUAAAUGUCACACUGAAAAGAUCACAGAAGAAAUGCUGCAAUUUAUUUUAGUUGUGGAAAUCAUUGACUAGAAAUCAGAAGUGUGAAAAUGAUAUUGUAUGUGUUCUAUGGCUGUGUUUGAACACAGAAUAAAAACUCAGCAUAAGGAUGGGUUUAAUAAUCUGUUUUAACUCCACUGGAAUAUAAAAUCUUCAGUUUCUUGAAGACUAAAUACAUCAGUUAUUCUGCAGCAUUUCUUAAACUUAUUCCAGAAGUCAACUAGGACUUGUAAAUGAUCAUUUAUUAAAGGUUUUUUUACAUACUUAGUUUUGUGGCGUGUUCUAAAAUAUUUCUGUGAACAGAUAACCAUAAGAAGGAUAAAGGAAAGAGCUGGUAAACUUGCACUGCUCUGUUCAGUUAUUUUACUUAGUGACCCACUUGAUGAUUUCUCCUUUUUUCUGUAAUAAUAGAAUAGUUGGGAAAUGACAUACCAUUUUUCCAACAAAUCUUAUUUGUCUUCCCUUUUGUGUAAUAUAUUGAAAAAAUAGAUAUCA